rnacentral:rRNA from 1 species
AUUGAACGCUAGCGGGAUGCUUUACACAUGCAAGUCGACCGAGUGGCGGGUGGGUGAGUAAUAUAUCGGAACGUGCCCAGUAGCGGGGGAUAACUACUCGAAAGAGUGGCUCAUAUCGCAUACUAUUGGACCGGCCGCUAUCGGAUUUGCUAGUUGGUGGGGUAAAGGCUUAACAAGGGAACGAUCCGUAGCUGGUUUGAGAGGACGACCAGCCACACUGGGACUGAGACACGGCCCAGACUCCUACGGGAGGCAGCAGUGGGGAAUUUUGGGCAAUGGGGGAAACCCUGAUCCAGCCAUCCCGCGUGAAUGAGAAGGCCUUCGGGUUGUAAAGUACUUUUGGCAGAGAAGCGGUAUCUACAGAAUAAGCACCGGCUAACUACGUGCCAGCAGCCGCGGUAAUAC